AUCGCGAUUUCCCUGACUACUUUGUAGAGUAGUGUAGAGUGCCAUUGAGAAUUCCACCGCGUUCCAUAGGUUGCCGACCCCUGUUCUAGUAUCUUCGCUAAUGACUUUGAGCUUAUAUGGGAGAGACGUAUUUUUGGCGGUCGUCACCUCGAGCAGUUCGUUAUUUGUUUUGCGGUCAUUGCCUUCCCUGGCCUCGAGAGACCUACAUGUGUGUCGCACACGUUUUCUAAAGGCGAGUAGUAGAACAGUAAUAAUCACCAGAAAUAAACCGAAUAUUUCUGAAGUUAUUUCUUUCAGAUAUUCUUUGUGGUAAACUCGAAUUUUCAACCGAUAUUGAGUGGUUAAACUUAACCCCUCAAUGUCGGUUAUUAAUGCUUUUUUUGAUGUCUUGUAAUGUGAUUUCAGCUAUCAUUGGGCGUGUAUCCGUUGGCGAGUGGUCUGGUUCGGUGUUUCGGGUGGUGGGAUCUUCAAAUGUUGCUCGGUUUUUAUUAUAGU
rnacentral:lncRNA from 1 species